rnacentral:rRNA from 1 species
CAGGGAUUGCCUUAGUAACGGCGAGUGAAGCGGCAAAAGCUCAAAUUUGAAAUCUGGCACCUUCGGUGUCCGAGUUGUAAUUUGAAGAAGGUAACUUUGGAGUCAGCUCUUGUCUAUGUUCCUUGGAACAGGACGUCACAGAGGGUGAGAAUCCCGUGCGAUGAGAUGUCUGAUUCUAUGUAAAGUGCUUUCGAAGAGUCGAGUUGUUUGGGAAUGCAGCUCUAAGUGGGUGGUAAAUUCCAUCUAAAGCUAAAUAUUGGCGAGAGACCGAUAGCGAACAAGUACAGUGAUGGAAAGAUGAAAAGAACUUUGAAAAGAGAGUGAAAAAGUACGUGAAAUUGUUGAAAGGGAAGGGUUUGAGAUCAGACUUGGUAUUUUGUAUGUCUUGCUUUCGGGUGGGGCCUCUACAGUUUACUGGGCCAGCAUCGGUUUGGACGGUAGGAUAAUGACAUUGGAAUGUGGCACCACUUCGGUG